ACAGUAAGAUUUUAACAACAGUACCUUAAAGAUUGGGAAGUGUGUUACAUCUUACCUGUAGCCUACUGUAAUCUCUCUCCCUUAAGAAGGUUCUAUUAUGUAUGAAUACCUUCAAUCUAUGGUAGAUAUGUUUAUGAUGACUUUGGAAAAUUGGUAAAUGUAAAUGAUGUUUCUGGUUCUGCGUGUUUGAGACAGUCAUUUAUUUAGGUUUAAAAACUCUUACAUAUAAGAAGUAAUUGAGUUAAUAUGUCUUACGGCUUCCUACUGAUAUAUAGAUAUGGAACGGAAAUGGUAAUUAUGAUAAUGGUUGAAUUUAUUUUAAUUUUUAUGCAGAAUGAUGUAGUUAAUGGUUAUAGAAAAUGUUGAUUAGUUCUGUGUGUUAUGAGCAGUAUAUUGGAGGAAGCUUGAUGACUAUAAA